rnacentral:lncRNA from 1 species
ACGUUCAAAAAAUAAUAGAUGAUGAAUUUUUAGGUUUUUUCCUUUUUUUUUUUUAUGGGUACUUCAGCUUUAAUAGUAUAGAUAAGAGAACAUCACAAAUGUAAUAAGUAAAGAAUAUCAUACUCCAAAAGAUUAAUCUCUCAGAAAACAGAAUUGUUUCAGUUAAACCUCUUCUUCCGGAAGAUGGCGACACAUGUUGAUGGAAAAUAUUGGGAGAUGGAGAACCGGAUAUCGACAAUGAUCGAUGGUUGAGAACUUGAGAAGAUAAAACGAAAUUAUGGAACUAAGAAAAUAUUAUUCUAGAAAAUUUGUGAUAAAUAUAAAC